AUUGAGCGCUGGCGGCAGGCCUAACACAUGCAAGUCGAGCGGGGUUUUCGGACCUAGCGGCGGACGGGUGAGUAAUGCGUAGGAAGCUGCCCGAUAGAGGGGGAUACCAGUUGGAAACGACUGUUAAUACCGCAUAAUGUCUACGGACCAAAGUGUGGGACCUUCGGGCCACAUGCUAUCGGAUGCGCCUACGUGGGAUUAGCUAGUUGGUGAGGUAAUGGCUCACCAAGGCGACGAUCUCUAGCUGGUUUGAGAGGAUGAUCAGCCACACUGGAACUGAGACACGGUCCAGACUCCUACGGGAGGCAGCAGCGGGGAAUAUUGGACAAUGGGCGCAAGCCUGAUCCAGCCAUGCCGCGUGUGUGAAGAAGGCCUUCGGGUUGUAAAGCACUUUCAGCGAGGAGGAAGGGUGGUGUGUUAAUAGCACAUCAUUUUGACGUUACUCGCAGAAGAAGCACCGGCUAACUCUGUGCCAGCCGCCGCAGUAAUAC
rnacentral:rRNA from 1 species